rnacentral:rRNA from 1 species
CCUACGGGCAGCAGUGGGGAAUAUUGCGCAAUGGGGGAAACCCUGACGCAGCAACGCCGCGUGAGUGAGGAAGGACUUCGGUCUGUAAAGCUCUGUUAAUGAGGAAAAAUGGUAGUUGGUCUAAUAGGCCGAUUAUUUGAUGGUACUCAUAGAGGAAGCACCGGCUAACUUCGUGCCAGCAGCCGCGGUAAUACGAAGGGUGCAAGCGUUGUUCGGAUUUAUUGGGCGUAAAGCGCGCGUAGGCGGACCUGCAAGUAAGAUGUGAAAUCUCGAGGCUCAACCUCGAAACUGCGUCUUAAACUACAGGUCUAGAAUCUCGGAGGGGGAAGGGGAAUUUCGCAUGUAGGGGUAAAAUCCGUAGAUAUGCGAAGGAACACCAGAGGCGAAGGCGCCUUCCUGGACGAGUAUUGACGCUGAGGCGCGAAAGCGUGGGGAUCAAACAGGAUUAGAUACCCUGGUAGUCCACGCUGUAAACCGAUGAACACUAGGUAUUGGAGGAUUUGACCCCUUCAGUGCCGUAAGCUAACGCGUUAAGUGUUCCGCCUGGGAAUACGGUCGCAAGACUAAACUUAAAGAUAGUCGCGNGNGAGNGNGACGAGACGACGAGAGGAG